CGACGGGUGAGUAACACGUAUGCAAUCCACCUGUAACAGGGGAGUAACCCGGAGAAAUCCGACUAAUACCCAUAAUAUGGGCGCUCCGCAUGGAGAGUCCAUUAAAGAGAGCAAUCUUGGUUACAGACGAGCAUGCGCUCCAUUAGCCAGUUGGCGGGGUAACGGCCCACCAAGGCGACGAUGGAUAGGGGUUCUGAGAGGAAGGUCCCCCACAUUGGAACUGAGACACGGUCCAA
rnacentral:rRNA from 1 species